GAGGGGUGGCAGAGUGGUCGAAUGCGGCGGUCUUGAAAACCGCUUUGGCGCAAGCCAACGGGGGUUCGAAUCCCUCCCCCUCC
rnacentral:tRNA from 1 species